UACGGAGGGGGCUAGCGUUGUUCGGAAUUACUGGGCGUAAAGCGCACGUAGGCGGCUUUGCAAGUUAGAGGUGAAAGCCCAGGGCUUAACCCUGGAAUUGCCUUUAAAACUGCAUCGCUAGAAUUGUGGAGAGGUGAGUGGAAUUCCGAGUGUAGAGGUGAAAUUCGUAGAUAUUCGGAAGAACACCAGUGGCGAAGGCGGCAUCCUGGACCGAGAUUGACGCUGAGGCGCGAAAGCCAGGGGAGCAAACGGG
rnacentral:rRNA from 1 species